rnacentral:rRNA from 1 species
ACUUAAAUUGAAGAGUUUGAUCAUGGCUCAGAUUGAACGCUGGCGGCAGGCCUAACACAUGCAAGUCGAACGGUAACAGAAAGCAGCUUGCUGCUUUGCUGACGAGUGGCGGACGGGUGAGUAAUGUCUGGGAAACUGCCUGAUGG